UCUGUUGCUAUGCUACGAAGUCUAGAGUUCCGGACUAAAUGAUUUACAAUAAUUCGAUUCAUCCGUCAACAUCCUGGGUUCGUAUUUCACGUGAAUUUUUGUUUUCCAGCAAACCCAUUCAUUUUUAUGGGCAAAAGGAAAAUCAUUUGACUGCGGCCAUGCUGGGGCACCGCCUUUAGUCGGGGAGAUCGAGCCCAGGAGUUACUCAUUUCAUUUGAAAGAGUAGCAGUCCAUAAGGAACAAAUAA
rnacentral:lncRNA from 1 species